UACGAAGGGUGCAAGCGUUAAUCGGAAUUACUGGGCGUAAAGCGUGCGUAGGUGGUCUUUUAAGUCCGUUGUGAAAGCCCUGGGCUCAACCUGGGAAUGGCAGUGGAUACUGGAAGGCUGGAGUACGGUAGAGGCAGAUGGAAUUCCGGGUGUAGCGGUGGAAUGCGUAGAGAUCCGGAAGAACACCGGUGGCGAAGGCGGUCUGCUGGGCCGUGGCUGACGCUGAGGCGCGACAGCGUGGGGAGCAAACAGG
rnacentral:rRNA from 1 species